rnacentral:rRNA from 1 species
ACUCGAGUGGCGAACGGGUGAGUAACACGUGGGUGAUCUGCCCUGCACUUCGGGAUAAGCUUGGGGAACUGGGUCUAAUACCGGAUAGGAGCCAUCUUUAGUGUGGUGGUUGGAAAGUUUUUUCGGUGUAGGAUGAGCUCGCGGCCUAUCAGCUUGUUGGUGGGGUAAUGGCCUACCAAGGCGGCGACGGGUAGCCGGCCUGAGAGGGUGUACGGCCACAUUGGGACUGAGAUACGGCCCAG